rnacentral:rRNA from 1 species
CCUACGGGAGGCAGCAGUGAGGAAUAUUGGUCAAUGGGCGCGAGCCUGAACCAGCCAAGUAGCGUGAAGGAUGACUGCCCUACGGGUUGUAAACAUCUUUUAUAAAGGAAUAAAGUGAGGCACGUGUGCCUUUUUGUAUGUACUUUAUGAAUAAGGAUCGGCUAACUCCGUGCCAGCAGCCGCGGUAAUACGGAGGAUCCGAGCGUUAUACGGAUUUAUUGGGUUUAAAGGGAGCGUAGAUGGGUUGUUAAGUUAGUUGGGAAAGUUUGCGGCUCAAACGUAACAUUGCACUUGAUACUGGAAGUCUUGAGUACAGUUGAGGUAGGCGGAAUUCGUGGUGUAGCGGUGAAAUGCGUAGAUAUCACGAAGAACUCCGAUUGCGAAGGCAGCUUACUAAACUGCCACUGACGUUGAUGCUCGAAAGUGUGGGUAUCAAACAGGAUUAGAUACCCUUGUAGUC